AAAGCACUUUCAGUGGGGAGGAGGUUUGGCAGGUUAAGAGCUGGCUAAAUGGACGUUACCCACAGAAGAAGCACCGGCUAACUCCGUGCCAGCAGCCGCGGUAAUACGGAGGGUGCGAGCGUUAAUCGGAAUUACUGGGCGUAAAGGGUGCGUAGGUGGUUGAUUAAGUUGGCUGUAAAAUUCCCGGGCUUAACCUGGGGCGGUCAUCCAAUACUGAUUGACUCGAGUAUGGGAGAGGGUAGUGGAAUUUCCGGUGUAGCGGUGAAAUGCGUAGAGAUCGGAAGGAACACCAGUGGCGAAGGCGGCUACCUGGCCCAAUACUGACACUGAGGCACGAAAGCGUGGGGAGCAAACAGGAUUAGAUACCCUGGUAGUCCACGCUGUAAACGAUGUCAACUAGCUGUUGGCCAUAU
rnacentral:rRNA from 1 species